rnacentral:rRNA from 1 species
GAUGAACGCUGGCGGCGUGCCUAAUACAUGCAAGUCGAGCGAACGGACGAGAAGCUUGCUUCUCUGAUGUUAGCGGCGGACGGGUGAGUAACACGUGGAUAACCUACCUAUAAGACUGGGAUAACGUCGGGAAACCGGAGCUAAUACCGGACAAUAUGUUGAACCGCAGGGUUCAAAAGUGAAAGACGGUCUUGCUGUCACUUAUAGAUGGAUCCGCGCUGCAUUAGCUAGUUGGUAAGGUAACGGCUUACCAAGGCAACGAUGCAUAGCCGACCUGAGAGGGUGAUCGGCCACACUGGAACUGAGACACGGUCCAGACUCCUACGGGAGGCAGCAGUAGGGAAUCUUCCGCAAUGGGCGAAAGCCUGACGGAGCCACGCCGCGUGUGUGAUGAAGGUCUUCGGAUCGUAAAACUCUGUUAUUAGGGAAGAACAUAUGUGUAAGUAACUGUGCACAUCUUGACGGUACCUACUCAGAAAGCCCCGGCUAACUACGUG